UGUCGCUAUUCCGCGCGAGUGAACGCACGUGAUACGAUUCGCGUUACGUGAGUGACAGACACGUGAGAAACUGCGAUUGACGAUCCAGGCGAUAAUUAUUCGCUCAAUUAGAGCCCUGCGUGUGGUAGGAUUACCGGUCCAGAUCAGGUGCGUGUCACUCCAAUACGAGGCUGAAAAGAUGCCUUACAAGUGUCGCAUUUUUGUCAAGCUAUUUGUUUCCCGGUUAUUUCCAAGGCGAAUAACAAGAUGGUAUUAAGACCCAAGGCGGAUAAUUGGAGAUGCUCCGGAUGCUCGGUAGUAAAAAACGCUCCUUUAUGGACGGCAGGAACUCCGGUAGUCAACUAUCCGCGGUUCGACCGGAUAAGAUAACCUCUUCCUCGAUAGCACGUCUACUGCGUACGUCGCUUCCGGCACGCCGGAACGUACGCGACUGAUUUUCAAAAGGCGUUUCCUCGUCCAGCUCGACUUACAAGCAGCUCUCAAACCUAUCGUUACUUGUCCAACCACGCCUUACCGUUACACCUAAUUCAUCGCGGUUACCUACCUACCUGGAGCUCCUGGAAGUGAUGAUACGUGUUACGGUAGCACGAGGCUCACCGUUACAUCACGCAAGGGUGGAAGGUGUGCGGAUUGUCUUGUUACAACUGCGGCGGAGACAGGAAACCGUAGUUUGUUCUACUCAGGCAAAUCCCCGUUGAAGUGAGUCCCGGUCUACCGGUGCCUCACCAUUGGAACUAAACCUUAAAAAUGUGGAAAGGAAACUUGAGGCUAAUCUCCGGCGGUCAUUCAGCAUUUUACGAAGGCAAAUCAUUUCCGCACAUUACAAUCCCUUUUGGCUCGUCGCCGACGACCCCUGCCAUGAUAGCAGUGAUUCGGAUUUGCCUUCACCAUUAGACUCUCUGUUCCAUGAUUGACGCGGACACCACGAGCACCUGCUCAAAGCGACCCAGCAUCCUGUCAGUCCCACGUGAUGAUCACUCGAGAAUCUGUCGAUCGCAGGGAGGGAGGACGGGUUGAUGAACGGGGUCCAUUAUGCGCGAGGCGAUUGUACUAUGAAGAAGCUAUUUGUACCUGAUUAAAUUGGCUGAAUCCUGCAUCCGAGAAUUCAUGUAUUCAAGAUUCGUGAGAAGCAUGUAGCGCCUCGAUGCUAAUCCGCCUAAUUAACUUCUCCUACGAGAUUAGAGAUUCGAGGGUAGGUAGGUGCUGCGGCAAGAUGGCGAGGUAAAUUGGGAGGCGGGGUGGACCUCAUUUGCAUGGAAGCGAGAACGCGUUCUCGCAGUGCUUGAACUUGCACCGUAUAGAAAUUACUCUCGAGGCAUUUCGAUGUAAGUAAGGAUGCUCUGAAAGGAGGAUUGAGAGUGGAGAGAAAUUUACUCUUACGUAACGCUAUUAGGUCUGAAUCGUUAAACCAAUAAUCGUUAGAGCUUUGGUUUCGCUCUCAUCUCCCAAUGGACCACUCGACACCCUCGUGCAAUAAAUACAACGCCAACUCGUCUCUCCUCCGAUUCUCUCACUCCCGCACCUUGCAUAUAUCUAUAUUCUUUCUCUAACUCUCUCCCCGAGUUUCCCCGAUGUUUUUCAGCCCCUAAAUUUCCCCCUCGCGAAUCAGACACUUAAUUUGUAAAACAAAAUAAGGAAAUAAAAUAAAAAUAAUAAAAAUUUA
rnacentral:lncRNA from 1 species